rnacentral:rRNA from 1 species
AACGAACGCUGGCGGCAGGCCUAACACAUGCAAGUCGAGCGAGGACUUCGGUUCUAGCGGCGGACGGGUGAGUAACGCGUGGGAAUGUGCCCUUCUCUACGGAAUAGCCCUGGGAAACUGGGAGUAAUACCGUAUACGCCCUAUUGGGGAAAGAUUUAUCGGAGAAGGAUCAGCCCGCGUUGGAUUAGGUAGUUGGUGGGGUAAUGGCCUACCAAGCCGACGAUCCAUAGCUGGUUUGAGAGGAUGAUCAGCCACACUGGGACUGAGACACGGCCCAGACCCCCACGGGGGGGAGAGGGGGGGAAUUUUAGACAAUGGGGGCAACCCUGAUUUAGCCAUGCCGGGGGAGUGAGGAAGGCCUUAGGGUUUUAAAGCUCUUUCGGCGGGGAAGAAAAUGACGGUACCAGCAAAAGAAGCCCCGGCUAACCCCGU